UACGUAGGGAGCAAGCGUUGUCCGGAAUCAUUGGGCGUAAAGCGCGCGUAGGCGGCCCGGUAAGUCCGUUGUAAAAGUCGAAGGCUCAACCUUCGAAAGCCGAUGGAUACUGCCGGGCUAGAGUUCGGAAGAGGCGAGUGGAAUUCCUGGUGUAGCGGUGGAAUGCGCAGAUAUCAGGAGGAACACCGGUGGCGAAGGCGGAUCUCUGGGCCUUGCCUGACGCUGAGGCGCGAAAGCUAGGGGAGCGAACAGG
rnacentral:rRNA from 1 species